rnacentral:rRNA from 1 species
GAAACCGGGUGAUCUAGCCAUGGGCAGGUUGAAGGUUGAGUAACAUCAACUGGAGGACCGAACCGACUAAUGUUGAAAAAUUAGCGGAUGACUUGUGGCUAGGGGUGAAAGGCCAAUCAAACUCGGAGAUAGCUGGUUCUCCCCGAAAGCUAUUUAGGUAGCGCCUCGGACGAAUACUACUGGGGGUAGAGCACUGUUAAGGCUAGGGGGUCAUCCCGACUUACCAACCCUUUGCAAACUCCGAAUACCAGUAAGUACUAUCCGGGAGACACACGGCGGGUGCUAACGUCCGUCGUGGAGAGGGAAACAACCCAGACCGCCAGCUAAGGUCCCAAAGUAUUGCUAAGUGGGAAACGAUGUGGGAAGGCUCAGACAGCUAGGAUGUUGGCUUAGAAGCAGCCAUCAUUUAAAGAAAGCGUAAUAGCUCACUAGUCGAGUCGGCCUGCGCGGAAGAUGUAACGGGGCUAAGCAAUACACCGAAGCUGCGGCAAUAUCUUUUAGAUAUUGGGUAGGGGAGCG